UACGGAGGGGGCUAGCGUUGUUCGGAAUCACUGGGCGUAAAGGGAGCGUAGGCGGCGUGGUAAGUCAGAUGUGAAAUCCCGGGGCUCAACCCCGGAACUGCAUCCGAUACUGCCAUGCUUGAGGGUUGGAGAGGUAGCUGGAAUUCUCGGUGUAGCAGUGAAAUGCGUGGAUAUCGAGAGGAACACUCGUGGCGAAGGCGAGCUACUGGACAACAUCUGACGCUGAGGCUCGAAGGCUAGGGGAGCAAAAGGG
rnacentral:rRNA from 1 species